ACAUCCAGAGAAUUUAGCAGAGAUGCCUUAGUGCCUUCGGGAACUCUGAGACAGGUGCUGCAUGGCUGUCGUCAGCUCGUGUUGUGAAAUGUUGGGUUAAGUCCCGCAACGAGCGCAACCCUUAUCCUUUGUUGCCAGCACGUAAUGGUGGGAACUCAAAGGAGACUGCCGGUGAUAAACCGGAGGAAGGUGGGGAUGACGUCAAGUCAUCAUGGCCCUUACGAGUAGGGCUACACACGUGCUACAAUGGCGCAUACAAAGAGAAGCGACCUCGCGAGAGCAAGCGGACCUCAUAAAGUGCGUCGUAGUCCGGAUUGGAGUCUGCAACUCGACUCCAUGAAGUCGGAAUCGCUAGUAAUCGUAAAUCAGAAUGUUACGGUGAAUACGUUCCCGGGCCUUGUACACACCGCCCGUCACACCAUGGGAGUGGGUUGCAAAAGAAGUAGAUAGCUUAACCUUCGGGAGGGCGUUUACCACUUUGUGAUUCAUGACUGGGGUGAAGUCGUAACAAGGUAGGCGUAGUGCU
rnacentral:rRNA from 1 species